rnacentral:rRNA from 1 species
UACGAACCGUGCGAACGUUGUUCGGAAUCACUGGGCUUAAAGGGCGCGUAGGCGGGCUAUCAAGUCCGGGGUGAAAUCCUCCAGCUUAACUGGAGAAUGGCCUCGGAUACUGAUGGUCUCGAGGAGGAUAGGGGCACACGGAACUGUGGGUGGAGCGGUGAAAUGCGUUGAUAUCCAUAGGAACUCCGGUGGCGAAAGCGGUGUGCUGGAUCCUUUCUGACGCUGAGGCGCGAAAGCCAGGGGAGCAAACGGG